AUUGAACGCUGGCGGCAGGCCUAACACAUGCAAGUCGAACGGUAACAGGAAGCAGCUUGCUGCUUCGCUGACGAGUGGCGGACGGGUGAGUAAUGUCUGGGAAACUGCCUGAUGGAGGGGGAUAACUACUGGAAACGGUAGCUAAUACCGCAUAACGUCGCAAGACCAAAGAGGGGGACCUUCGGGCCUCUUGCCAUCGGAUGUGCCCAGAUGGGAUUAGCUAGUAGGUGGGGUAACGACUCACCUAGGCGACGAUCCCUAGCUGGUCUGAGCGGAUGACCCGCCACACUGGGACUGGGACACGGUCCAGACUCCUACGGGAGGCAGCAGUGGGGAAUAUUGCACAAUGGGCACAAGCCUGAUGCAGCCAUGCCGCGUGUAUGAAGAAGGCCUUCGGGUUGUAAAGUACUUUCAGCGGGGAGGAAGGCGAUAAGGUUAAUAACCUUGUCGAUUGACGUUACCCGCAGAAGAAGCACCGGCUAACUCCGUGCCAGCCGCCGCGGUAAAAC
rnacentral:rRNA from 1 species